GGUUACGUGCUCAGUUGGUAGAGCGCCUGCUUAGCAAUUCAUGAAUCGAGAACUGCGAGGUUCUGAACGGACUUGCAUGAGGCCCCGGGUUCAACUCCCGGAUUCUCCA